UACGAAGGGUGCAAGCGUUACUCGGAAUUACUGGGCGUAAAGCGCGCGCAGGUGGUGCGGUAAGUCUGUCGUGAAAUCUCCCGGCUCAACUGGGAGGGUGCGGUGGAGACUGCCGGACUGGAGGCACUCAGAGGCCGGUGGAAUUCCCGGUGUAGCGGUGAAAUGCGCAGAUAUCGGGAAGAACACCCGUGGCGAAGGCGGCUCUCUGGGACGGUACUGACGCUGAGACGCGAAAGCGUGGGGAGCGAACAGG
rnacentral:rRNA from 1 species